rnacentral:rRNA from 1 species
GGGACCUCAGAUCAGGCAAGACCACCCGCUGAGUUUAAGCAUAUCACUAAGCGGAGGAAAAGAAACUAACAAGGAUUCCCU